AGCAGCCGCGGUAAUUCCAGCUCCAAUAGCGUAUAUUAAAGUUGUUGCAGUUAAAAAGCUCGUAGUUGAAUUUCGGGAUCAAUGGGUUGGUCAUGCCCUCGGUAUGUACUGAUUUCAUUGGUUCUCACCUUCUAAGGAACCAUGAUGUCAUUUGUUUGAUGUUGUGGGGAAUUAGGACUGUUACCUUGAAAAAUUAGAGUGUUUAAAGCAGGCUAACGCUUGAAUACAUUAGCAUGGAAUAAUGAAAUAGGACAUCCGAUUCUAUUUUGUUGGUUUCUAGGAUCGAUGUAAUGAUUAAUAGGGAUAGUUGGGGGCAUUAGUAUUCAAUUGUCAGAGGUGAAAUUCUUGGAUUUAUUGAAGACUAACUACUGCGAAAGCAUUUGCCAAGGAUGUUUUCAUUAAUCAAGAACGAAAGUUAGGGGAUCGAAGACGAUCAGAUACCGUCGUAGU
rnacentral:rRNA from 1 species